rnacentral:rRNA from 1 species
CAUGUAGGCGGUUUGUCAAGUCUGAUGUGAAAGCCCGGGGCUCAACCCCGGAAGUGCAUUGGAAACUGGCAAACUUGAGUACGGGAGAGGAAAGUGGAAUUUCGAGUGUAGGGGUGAAAUCCGUAGAUAUUCGAAGGAACACCAGUGGCGAAGGCGGCUUUCUGGACCGAUACUGACGCUGAGAUGCGAAAGCGUGGGGAGCAAACA